rnacentral:rRNA from 1 species
AUUGAACGCUGGCGGCAGGCCUAACACAUGCAAGUCGAACGAGUGGCGGACGGGUGAGUAAUGUCUGGGAAACUGCCUGAUGGAGGGGGAUAACUACUGGAAACGGUAGCUAAUACCGCAUACCAUCGGAUGUGCCAAGAUGGGAUUAGCUAGUAGGUGGGGUAACGGCUCACCUAGGCGCCACUCCCUAGCUGGUCUGAGAGGAGGACCAGACACACUGGAACUGAUACACGGUCCAGACUCCUCCGGGAGGCAGAAGAGGGGAAUAUUGCACAAGGGGCGCAAGCCUGAUGCAGCCAUGCCGAGUGUAUGAAGAAGGCCUUCGGGUUGUAAAGUACUUUCAGCGGGGAGGCGUUACCCGCAGAAGAAGCACCGGCUAACUCCGUGCCAGCCGCCGCGGUAAUUC